UAUUGAACAGAGCCAAGUACAUAUUGCCAUUUGUUUGUGUCCUCAGUAACUUGUUUUUGUUAGAUAUAACUCAUGAGACAGCUCGCAGCUAGGUUUGCUGUACAUUCCCCCUGACGAACAAUGUCCAACAGGAUUAAUAUACUAUCCGUCAGAUGAGAAUUAUACUACAUUAAUUUGUGAUUGCAGUGACGAUGAAUUGCAGAUAUAUGAUCCAGAAACAGAUGCUUGUUACUACCCGUACACACGAGGUCCAUGUGCUCCUGAAUAUUAUUACGUUUUGCCAGAAGGAGAAGAAGUUGCCGAAUGUGAACCAAAUCCUUGUGAUGAAGGCUUAGUACCUUAUGAUGGAGGAUGUUAUAAACUUGGUGCUUCAGAGCCUCCAUGUAAACAAAAUGUUACUUACUUAACAGUUGAACUGAUAACUUUAAAAAUAAAGUGCUUGAAACCAUUUGGCCGUGUUGCUGGUUAUGUACACACUAUUUAUGGCGGAAUAAUUAACGCGCCUCUUAAAGAAUGCAGAAAGGGAAGUCGAAGAAUUUAUUCAGGAAAAUGCAAACGUGAAUUGUUGUAAUAUUUUUCAAGUUUGUAAUGAUUUUUAUACGUACAUAGAAUCUAAAUCUGAUCUUUUUAACAUUUUAUAUAAAUAAAAGUCGAAUAAAAGCUAGUUUUGAAUAUCUAAACCAUAAUUUUUCAGUUUAUUUAGCACUAAGUCUAUCAAAAAUUUAAAGGGACUUUCUUGUCAAGGAUUUUAAAAAAUAGUAUACACUGG